UGGGUCGCACGCGUGCUACAAUGACGCCACGAACGAGUUUGCGUGAUGAAAGUCACGCAUAAUCAGCAGUCGGCGUCUUAAGGGAUAGUCUCUUGUAACUGUGGGACUCCAACUAGGAAUGUCUCGUAAGCACAAGUCAACAUCUUGUGUUGAUUACGUCCCUGCUCUUUGUACACACCGCCCGUCGCUCCUACCGAUCGAGUGUUUAGGUGAAUUUGAUGGACGUAAGGAAGUCAAAUAAACCUGAGCACUUAGAGGAAGGAGAAGUCGUAACAAGGUUUCCGUAGGUGAACCUGCGGAAGGAUCAUUCCAUUAGCGCGCGAUUCAUUGGUUCUCAACCUGCGUAAGCAGCGUAAUAAAGGUUUUUUAGCUUUGGAGGUGUCGGGUACUGAUCCGAGGAAGGACGCAGUUACACGCGAUAUUCAACCUGAAUCGCAAAACUGCGGAUGGUCGGGUGUCUGAAUGCUCAAAGCCGGAGCUACUGGUCACGCUCUAACACACCCCUUCGGUGUCUCACUUCCGCGUGAUGUGAGAAUUCCAAAAUAUUUUCACGUGACCACUAGCGGGGCAUGUAGUUAAUUUAAGCUUAUAAGUUAAUACACAAAGAAACUAAAUAGGAUGGACCGAGUAGUGGCGAAUGAAAAGUCCAAAGACCGAUCCGAAUUCAAGUUGUGGAUCCUACACUUCGGAAGACUCCAAAUCACCUGGAACGGUGGGCCGUAGAGAGUGAUAGCC
rnacentral:rRNA from 1 species